GUGUCUUUUGAAGACCUCCUAGUGUCUCCACUUAGUAUAUCCCCUCCUUUGCCUUUACCCUCUGAGUGAUGGGUCUCUGAGUGAUGGAACAACUUCUCUGGCCUCGGUAAACUCAACACGUGUUCUGUUGCCCAAGACACCGUGGCCAGAAACCCCGAAGCCCAGAAGGCAGUGCGGUCCGUGCAGUCCAAACAGGGAAGGCCCAGUCAGUGGCAGCCGAGAAAGCUACAUCCUCCGAGACUGUCCUCCGCCUGGACCUGCACAGCCCAGAAACGACGAGACUUGGCCGCAUCACAGCCUCGGAUCUGUCUCCUUGGGACAGCCUCGUGCUGAGCCCUCAGGACCAGUGUUUCUCCCGAGGAAGCCACAACCUCGUCUCAGGACCUGCACAGCCCAGAAACGACGAGACUUGGCCGCAUCAUAGCCUCGGAUCUGUCUCCUUGGGACAGCCUCGUGCUGAGCCCUCAGGACCAGUGUUUCUCCCGAGGAAGCCACAACCUCGUCUCAGGUAGGAAAUGAGCCCGGGAACCCCCGCCCCGCACAGCAGGUGAGCGGUGUCUCCUGAGACAAGGCAGGCUAGUGUGCGGAAGAUCGGAGUCCUCCUGUCUCACAUCUUUCCAAGUCUGUUGCCCACUAAGCCAGGAGUCUGGCUUUGUCCAUCUUUAUGAAUGGAAACUCCUGUCUGGUGGGUGCUGGCUGGAGCAAUGCUGCCCCCUUGUGGCCAGAUAUGACAGUGCCAUCAGUGGGUGUGCGGGAGGCUCAGCGUGACCCUCAGGGACCCCUGCCCCCACCCCACUUCUCUUGUGAUCUCAGGCUGCCAUCUGUCUGAAGGUCUCCAGAGAACCCGGUGGGAGGCAAGGGGGAGGGGGAACAGGGCGGGAGAGGGCACCUGAGCCAUGCUCCUCCACCACGGCCACGCUCUGUGACCUCUUCCCACUUCCCCGCCCCUGGGUGCCACCUGGAUUCCAAGGCCUGGUUCAGUUCUGCCCCUCAGCGCUCCCUGUGCCCACCACAGGCCAGUAGGGGACUCCCCAGGCCCUACAGUUCAGUGCUUGGGGCGCUGGUUGGUCCCCCACGCUGCAUGAGGAUCAGGCCGGGCUGUGGAUCCCAACCUUGCCCCAACUGCCUGAGGCCACAGAAAGGUACAGCUUGUCCAGGGAGCACUGGGAGCCAUUAAUGGUGUGUGUGUGUGUGUGUGUGUGUGAAUGUGUGAAUGCUGGUGGGGACCGCUACUCGAAGCUGGGAUGUCACUGUGAAGGUGCUGGCUGCUGUCCCCAAGGCCAGCUCCACCCCACCAAGCCCCGCGUGGUAACCCCAGGCCUGCCCCUGGAAGUUUUCUUGAGAGAUGGCCACAGCAGCAUAGUGCCCCUGGAGUCACCUUCCUAUCUCAAGGCCGCACCCCUGCUUUCUCCCGGGCGGAGCCCAGCGGGCCCUGGGCGGGAGCAGAAGGGAUGGAGAGGCUGCCCAGGAAGAUCCCGGCCGCCAGCCUCGCCCGCUGAGGAACUGCCACUCUGAGUGCUCAGGCCGGGCCACAGCCAGCGAGCACCCCUCAUCUCUAUGCCCACGAAGUACAGGUGUUGUAGCACUGCCCCCUGCAUGCCACAGGCCCCGCCUCCCACAUGCCCUGGCCAAGGGGCCUGGCUGCAGGCUUGGGCUGUCUGUGUCACUUCCCUUGUGGCUGGCGCAUGGCAUUGGCUGUGUACACGGACUCCCUCACCCUUUCUGGCCCACAGGUGGUAAGCAGCUACCUAGUGGGGAAGACCGUCAUUGAGACCAGAUCACUCCCAGGUCGCAAAAUCUCCAUUUAAAGUGUGGGAAUCGCUGGCGCCAUGGCUCACUAGGCUAAUCCUCCACCUUGUGGUGCCCGCACACCGGGUUCUAGUCCCGGUCGGGGCACCGGAUUCUGUCCCGGUUGCCCCUCUUCCGGGCCAGCUCUCUGCUGUGGCCUGGGAGUGCAGUGGAGGAUGGCCCAAGUGCUUGGGCCCUGCACCCCAUGGGAGACCAGGAGAAGCACCUGGCUCCUGGCUUCGGAUCAGCGCAGUGCGCCGGCUGCAGUGGCCAUUGGAGGGUGAACCAACGCAAAAGGAAGACCUUUCUCUCUCUCUCACUGUCCACUCUGCCUGUCAAAAAAAUAAAUAAAUAAAGUGUGGGAAUCAGCUCUGUGCGACCCCCAGGAUCUCUCACCCUCCCCCAGGAAACCCUGUACCCAUGAGCAAUCACCCCGACUCCCCUCCUGCCAGCGCUCUCUGACCUCUGCAUGCACCGAUUCAAUUCCAGGCACUUCUUGCAAACGGAACCGUACAAUAUGCAGUCUUUUGUGACUGGCUCUUUUUAUUGGCUGGUAUCAUUGAGAACAUUCUGUCAUUCUCCAGGCCCUUCCAUAAAGUAGCACAAAUUUGAACCCAUGGAUGGAAGAUCUCUUUAGAUUCAUUUAUUUAUUUAUUUGAAAGGUAGAGUUACAGAGACAGGACAGAGAGAGAGAGAGAGUGAAAUGGAGGGAGAGAGAGAAGUCUUCCAUCUGCUGGUUCAUUCCUCAAAUGACCACAACAGUGGGGCUGGGCCAGGCCAGAGCCAGGAAUCUGGAACUCCAUCCAGGUCUCCCACAUGGGUGCAGGGGACCAACUACUCAGACCAUCUUCCUCUGCUUUCCCAUGCACAUCAGCAGGGAGUUGGAUCAGAAGUGGAGCAUCCAGGACUCAAACAAGUACUCAGAUGGGGUGCUGGCAUCUCAAAUGGCAGCUUAAGCUGCUGUGCGCUAUGAGUUUAUUCUUAUGGCUGCAUAGUAUUCCACCAUGUGGAUAAACGCAUUUUAUUUUUUUUUUUUUAAUUUUUUUAACAGGCAGAAUGGACAGUGAGAGAGAGAGACAGAGAGAAAGGUCUUCCUUUGCCGUUGGCUCACCCUCCAAUGGCCCCAUGGCCGGCAUGCUGCGGCCAGCGCACCGCGCUGAUCCGAAGGCAGGAGCCAGGUGCUUAUCCUGGUCUCCCAUGGGGUGCAGGGCCCAAGCACCUGGGCCAUCCUCCACUGCACUCCCUGGCCACAGCAGAGAGCUGGCCUGGAAGAGGGGCAACCAGGACAGAAUCUGGUGCCCCGACCAGGACUAGAACCCGGUGUGCUGGCGCCACAAGGCAGAGGAUUAGCCUAGUGAGCCGUGGUGCCGGCACGUGUUUUAUUUGUCCAUACGUUGGCACUUGGGUUGCGUCCACUGCCCACUGUGGGGAUUCACGCUGUUUGUGUGGAGCCCACUGUGUGCGUCUCUCGGGUGGACAUGCAGGAGAGGCCAGGCCGUGUCUGACGUUCUAAGGAGUGGCCACACGGCUGUCCUGGGAGGCUGCACCCACGCACGUUCCCAGCAGGAGGGCGGGCUGCGACUUCCCAGCAUCCUCUCCGACACUUGCUGUUACCAGUCUUUUUAAUUCUCUUCCCUUCCAGCAGGUGUGGAGUGUGGGCCAGGGCUCUCGGGUUCUCUCUGCUUCAGGGAGCUCUUGCUUUCUGCCCAUCCCCCAUCACCACCCAAGCAGGCUCUCAUGCUUUGGCUUUGAACAAAACAGAAAAGGAACUCCCUCCACCCUUCCGCUUUCCUCCUCUGUACAACAGAGCUGCCUCGACCGGUCCUCAGCUCUCUCCAUUCAUCCUCACUUGGCCUGACCCCUGCGGGACCUUUGGCCCCACUCUAGCACCAAAACCGUUCUCGGGGUUCCCAGCGACCUCACCGCCCUGACAGCCCCUGCUUCCCUCUGUCUUCUGACUGGGGUUCCAGGGGGAGGGCUUCUCAUGUGGUCCCCUCCCUGCCCCUCCUCUGGUCCCUCCACACUGUCCUGACCUCAGCAGGAGGCACAGGCCCCAGAGGGCUCUGUCCUUGGCCCCACACCACGCUCUGUGCCUGCGGAGACUUCGGGAUUUCUGCCAGCCUCGCCACUUUCAACAUCAUCCAAGCACCGGGGACUCUCAGACUCCUCCCCCAACACACAGACGGACACACAGACACAGACACGUCAUCCGCUGGCCUCCAAACUCCAUGUGGCGCUCCGGCGUCUCCCUGGGACCUCCAGCCUCAUGUCUCACAAGAGCAGCAUGUCCUUAGCGUCAUCCUCACCUCUCCCACAUCCCGAAAAACCCCAACGCUCUCCCUGCUGGCCUCAGCUAUCCCCAGGCCAUGCCACCACUGCCUCCUGCUUGGAGAUGACCCCGGGACCUCUUCAUCCAGGCCCCUGCUGCCCCCGACCCCACACUCUGUUCCCAGCAGCAUCCCCAGAAAGAGCCUUUUACAAUACAUGCUGGCUUGUGCCCAUCCUGUGAAGGGAGCCCCAGUGUUCAGAGGCAAAGCCCUCAGGCUCCGGCCCCUACCUUGCCCCCUGCCAGCCGCCUCACUGCCCCUGUCUCCUCCCCCUCCCACCAGGCACACCUGGAUCUAACAGCUGCUGCUCCCUCUGCCUGGUUGCUCGAGGUCAGGAAUCUUGGAGAGUCUCUCGUCUCUCUCCAGACUUUUCUCAAUGUCACUGCCCUGGCAAGGCCACAUCUGGCCGCUCUGCAAACCCACGACUGCCCGAGCACUCCCCACCUGCUUCCUGCUUCUCUCUGCUCGGUGCCUAGCCCUCUGCCAUGUUUAUUUCAUGCGUUGGCCUUGCUUGGUGCCUGUCUCCCCGCCAGAAUGUAGGGCAGGGCUUUUAGUCUGCUUUGUGCCCUGCUCCUGCACGCAGUAGGUGCUGAAUAAAUAUUUGUUCAAUGAGUGAAUGGAGCCCACAGUCUGGAACUUCCUUCUGACACCUGGUGGCUGCCAGGGAGCAGCCCCACGGCGAUGCCACAGGUGGCCAGCAGGUGACACUGUGACUACAGAAAUGACAGGCCACUGGCGGCAGCCACAGUUCUCUGUCCACCCAUGCACCUGCUCCAGAGGUAAAAUGCUGGGAUGUGCAUGGGACAGUGUGCCUGCCUCACAGGUCAACCUCUGCCUGUUUCUCAUCUCCCGGCAAGACUCAGGAGAACCUGUGACUGCCUCUGUGUGGCUGAGUGCCACCAGGCCCAGGGGACCAUGAGGUAUACGAAUGGGGCAAAGCCCCAGGGGCUUCCCAGCCUGCAUCCUCUCUGAUCUCAGCCAUGGGGCUCAUCCUGCUGUCCUGGGACUGCCUGGAUCCCUGGGCCUGAGUCCAGCUCUGCCCGUGCUUGGCAGUGCUCUCUUUCUCUAAAAAUGGCUUAUUUAUCUAUUUUUAUUUAUUAUUAUUUAAAAAUGGCUUAUUUAUCUGUUUAUUUUAAAAGCAGAGAGUGCAGGAGAGAGACAGAGAACUCUCAUCCACCGUGCACUCUGCAGACGCCUGCAUAAGCCAGGGCUGGGAGCUGCGUUGUGGUGCAGCAGGUUAAGCCACCACAUGGGACGCUGGAUCCCAUAGCAACACCCGUUCAAGUCUCUGCUGCUCCACUUCCAAUCCAACUGUCUGCUAAUGAGCCCAGAAAAGCACCUGAAGAUGGCCCAAGUGCUUGGGCUCCUACCACCCAUGUGGGAGACCCAUAUAGAGCUCCUGGCUUUGGCCUGGGCGGGCCCUGGCCACUGCAGCCAUCUAGGGAGUGAAUCAGCAGGUGGAAGAUCUCUCUGUCUUGCUCUUUCUCUCCCUCUCUCUUUCUGUAACUCUGCCUUUCAAAACAAAUGAAUCUUUAAAAAGUUCUUGUUUUUUUUAAAGGCCAGGGCUGGCCCAGGGCGGGUCUGGGGACCUGGAACCCCCUCCAGGUCUGCUGUGUGGGUGGCAGAGGCUCAGUGACUCGAGCCAUCACCGCUGCCUCCCAGGGUGUGCAUUGGCAGAGGCUGGAAUCAGAAGCUGUAGGCGGGAGCAGAAGCCAGCCCUCUGGUGCCGGAUGUGGGCGCCCUCGCUGCUACUGGCCCAACACCGGCUUCAUGGGCUCUGCUCUCCCUCCUCGGGAGGUGAGGGAUGCCAAGGGACCCUCAGCCCUCCCCGUGGGUGUGAGGAGCUGUGAGCAGGGACUCUGGGCCCAGAGCAGGGCCCAUUCCCGGCUCUGCUGGCCUCCCGGUUGGGUGCCCUUGGCCAAGCGCUCAGCCUUGGCUUUGUACCUUUUGUACCCUGGGAAAGACGUGGCCACGCUGGAGGUGGCAGGGAGGGUGGGCCUCGCUGGUGAUCAGGCCAGGACGGAAGGCGGGGUGGGGGGGCUGGGUGCCUAGUGCUCCUACACCUGCUCUGCUGUGCGUGUGAUUCGUCUCCCUCGUGUCAGGUGCCAUGCCCAGCUUCUGGGGCCUUUGCACUGCAUUUGGGGAGCCAAGAAUUAACAGAAGAGACAGGACUAAACCUACACGACACAAAGUUAAUGGACAAACGUGAGCAGGUGGCGAGUGUUCAGUGUGAAGGACAGUGAGACAGUGUGAAGGACCCGGGGGCAGAGUGGACAGUGAGAGAGAGAGAGACAGAGAGAAAAGUCUUCCUUUGCCAUUGGUUCACCCUCCAAUGGCCGCCGCGCUGAUCUGAAGCCAGGAGCCAGGUGCUUCUCCUGGUUUCCCAUGGGGUGCAGGGCCCAAGGACUUGGGCCAUCCUCUACUGCACUCCCGGGCCAUAGCAGAGAGCUGGCCUGGAAGAGGGGCUACCAGGACAGAAUCCAGCGCCCCGACCGGUACUAGAACCCGGUAUGCCAGAGCCACAAGGCGGAGGAUUAGCCUAUUAAGCCACGGCACCGGCCUGGACCCAUCCUUACACACACACACACACACACACAAUCAAGUGUGAGGUGCGUGCGUGUCUGUGUGUGGGCAGGAAAACAGGCAUUACUUCUUGGGGGAGGGGCCUGACUUUGGUCAGAUUCUCUGUGAGGCGUAAAAACCAUGAAAUUCUAGGCAGGUCAGAUAUUCUCUUUUCAGUGUGGAAGGAAGAGAGGGAAUGAGGUUACUGGCCCACAGAGCCGCCGCGAGGUGAGUGUGUGUGACUGUGGGCGUUACGGGUGUACAAAGGGACACUUUUGCUCGUGCGAGUAUGUGUGGCUGUGCAAGCCUGGCAGCUGGGGGUGGCCCUGGGACCACGGGGACCACAGUGUCGCUGGCCUGCUCAGGAGGAACCCAUGUGCCUGGCAGGGAAGGAAGCAGUGACACACGGGUGGCCCACUGCCAGCCUGGGCCUCUGUGCGGGGCCCACGACCCCAUAUACUCACCAGGACCCCAUGAUGGGCCAGGCCCUACCCCAGGUGAUGUGGAGCGGGCCAGCCUGGUGUGACGCCCGGGGUGAGGUUUGUGUCCCCCGCGAUGGCCCAGCCCAGCCUGGCCUGGCCUGGUGUGACGCCCAGGGUAAGGUUUGUGUUCCCCGUGAUGGCACAGUCCAGCCUGGCGUGACGCCGGGGUGAGGUUUGUGUCCCCCGCGAUGGCCCAGCCCAGCUUGGCCUGGCCUGGUGUGACGCCCAGGGUAAGGUUUGUGUUUCCCGUGAUGGCGCAGUCCAGCCUGGCGUGACGCCGGGGUGAGGUUUGUAGCACAGACCCUGAGAUCUGCUCCCUGUCUUCUGCUGUGGCUGCUCCUAUGCACAGAGCUAAUUCUGUGACAUUUGGAGUAUGAAGGCUUCCCCUUGGAUCUCGCCUCAUUAUUUCCCAUUUCUUCUCCCUGUCUCUUGAUUGUUCUACCAGACCAGGGAAGUUCAUCACGAGCGUGGCGCAUCUGGUCACCUGGCCAGGGCUGGGGACUCCCGCGCUCCCCUGCUGGGCUGUUCCUCACUUUCUGUCUCUGUACCUCCCCUCUGCUUCCUUUCUCCUCUGGUUUGAUGAGGCCCAGCCACUCCUUUUCUUUUCUCUUUAUGAGAUUGUAUUUUUUAUUUAUUUGAAAAGCAGAGAGAGAGAGAGAGAGAGGAGAGAGAGGAGAGAGAGAGAGUCCAUCUGCUGGUUCACUGUCCAAAUGGCCACAAUGACCAGGACUGGGCCAGGCUGAAGCCAGGAGCCAGGAGCUUCUUCCGGGUCUCCCACGUGGGUGCAGGGGUUUAUUCCCUGGGGAGGUCACUGACCUUCUUGUGCCUGGUUCCCUGUGACUGGCACGUGAGCCCUGCCAUCUGAAGUCUGGUGCCAGGAAUAGGCGGGAGGGGCAGGGGAAGCAGGAGCGGUUGGUACAGAAAGGAGACACCCAACGGGAGGGUUGGGAGGCCCUGGGUGGGGGAGGAGGGAGCCGGGAAAGACCAGCAGCCAGGCAUCCCUGAGCCUCAGGACGUCCCCACCCCCCUUCACCUCUGCAGCUUUGACCAACAGGGCCUGGACUGCGGGGUGGGGAGAGGGCGGGACAGAGAGAGGUGACUUUGGCAUGGAAGUCAGAGGCAGAGGCACCCCACUUCCCGCCAUCCUGGGUCUGGGGCCCUCACUCCAGUCCUCAGCCCCACCCCGAUUCCUUGUGCCCGGCUCCUCCUGCACCAACACACAGCCUGGGGAAGAGGAGUCUGUGGGAGGGGAAGUAGGGGCUGGCGCCACGGCUGAGGAUAUAGCUGGGAUGUGAACACUCAUGUCUGUGGAUGAGGUUGGCCGCUCACUCUGGGGGGGGGGGGCUGCUCCCGCGCAUCUGGUCCUGGCCUGGACCCCAGAGGUGGGUGGCCUUGUGGCCAGGUGAGAAGGUGGAAGCAAGAGACACGUGACUUCCUGAGCAGGCCUGGAACCAGGGCCUCGUGGUGCAGCUGGUGCUCCCUGGCACAGGUGACUGCCACUCUUAGGAGGAUGGGGCUGAUUAGGUGCUCUGCCCUUGACCUGCGUGCUGGAGGGACCCAGGGAAGAUGGGAGCAUUCCUGGAGGAAGGGGCCAUCUGGAGAAAAAGCUCCAAGUCACAGGCUUGCCCUGAGCUGCACCUGCUCUCUGCAGCCAUGCCUCUCCUUCUCCCUGGGGUCCCAAGGCCUGGGGAGCCCCGGCUGGGGUCUGUCUGCAGCGGGGAGCCUGGGUGCAGCUGAAGUGCCGGACGAUUGACUACCCCCAAGAAUCAGAGACCACCAGAGUCCAAAGUUUAAGCAAAUUGCAGGGAUCAUUUAUUUCGAGUUCGAACUCGGACUCUCCUGGCUUUCCCAAUAACAGUGGUACAGCAGAGGAGAGCCCCAGCCCAGUUCACACAGAGCUUAUAUAAUCGGGUACAAACAGGUACGUACGUAAGCACUUCUUUCUUUUUUUCUUUCUUUCUUUCUUUCUUUCUUUCUUUCUUUCUUUCUUUCUUUCUUUCUUUCUUUUUCUUUCUUUCUUUCUUUCUUUUUUUUUUUUUUAUAGGCAGAGUGGACAGUGAGAAAGAGAGACAGAGAGAAAGGUCUUCCUUUUGCCGUUGGUUCACCCUCCAAUGGCCGCCGCAGUUGGCACUCUGCGGCCAGCGCACCACACUGAUCCGAUGGCAGGAACCAGGUACUUAUCCUGGUCUCCCAUGGGGUGCAGGGCCCAAGCACUUGGGCCAUCCUCCACUGCACUCCCGGGCCACAGCAGAGAGCUGGCCUGGAAGAAGGGCAACUGGGACAGAAUCCGGCGCCCCGACCGGAACUAGAACCUGGUGUGCUGGCGCCACUAGGCGGGGGAUUAGCCUAUUGAGCCAUGGCGCCAGCCUUGUAAGCACUUUCUUAUACCCUAUAUGGCUGUCUU